rnacentral:rRNA from 1 species
CCUACGGGGGGCUGCAGUGGGGAAUAUUGGACAAUGGGGGGAACCCUGAUCCAGCCAUGCCGCGUGUGUGAAGAAGGCCCUCGGGUUGUAAAGCACUUUCAGUGAGGAAGAACGCCUGGUGGUUAAUACCCAUCAGGAAAGACAUCACUCACAGAAGAAGCACCGGCUAACUCCGUGCCAGCAGCCGCGGUAAUACGGAGGGUGCGAGCGUUAAUCGGAAUUACUGGGCGUAAAGCGCGCGUAGGUGGCUUGAUAAGCCGGUUGUGAAAGCCCCGGGCUCAACCUGGGAACGGCAUCCGGAACUGUCAAGCUAGAGUGCAGGAGAGGAAGGUAGAAUUCCCGGUGUAGCGGUGAAAUGCGUAGAGAUAGGGAGGAAUACCAGUGGCGAAGGCGGCCUUCUGGACUGACACUGACACUGAGGUGCGAAAGCGUGGGUAGCAAACAGGAUUAGAUACCCGAGUAGUC